AGGACGAACGCUGGCGGCGUGCUUAACACAUGCAAGUCGAACGGUGAUCCAGAGCUUGCUCUGGUGAUCAGUGGCGAACGGGUGAGUAACACGUGAGCAACCUGCCCUUCACUCUGGGAUAACACCGGGAAACCGGUGCUAAUACCGGAUACGACCCGAGUGGGCAUCCACAUCGGGUGGAAAGUUUUUUCGGUGAAGGAUGGGCUCGCGGCCUAUCAGCUUUGUUGGUGAGGUAAUGGCUCACCAAGGCGACGAC
rnacentral:rRNA from 1 species